GAUGAACGCUGGCGGCGUGCUUAACACAUGCAAGUCGAGCGGGCAAUUUAUCUAGCACUGAUUACUUCAAAUGGAAAUCAUAAGUGUAAUCAUGAAUUUCUACCUUUAAUAAGGGAAAAAAGAAAUUCAUGUACGCAAAUAGUGAUAACACAUGAAAGUGGAGUGAUGAGUGCUGGAUAAAUUGCUAGCGGCGGACGGGUGCGUAACACGUGGGUAACCUGCCCCUAUCACUGGGAUAACACACUGAAAAGUGUGCUAAUACCAGAUAAUAUAAGCUUUUGGCAUCAUUAGCUUAUCAAAGAAUUUCGGAUAGGGAUGGGCCCGCGUCUGAUUAGCUAGUUGGUGAGGUAACGGCUCACCAAGGCAACGAUCAGUAGCCGACCUGAGAGGGUGAUCGGCCACACUGGAACUGAGACACGGUCCAAACUCCUACGGGAGGCAGCAGUGGGGAAUUUUCGGCAAGUGGGGGAAACCCUGACCGAGCAAUG
rnacentral:rRNA from 1 species